rnacentral:lncRNA from 1 species
CCGGUUCCGGCGGAAGGCCAGCCUGGGUCCCGGCUGCCUCCGGUGGAGUAGCGGAUUCGUGGCCCUUGGAUGGGGUCGACCUGUGUUCUCACAAUGAAAGCAUAGAUCAAAUUACCUAUACACACCAGAAAUAUAAAGUUUCUCAACCCAGUGAGUCAUCCAACAUCCCAGGCUACAAGCUGUAGAUGACUUUAUCAUCUGCACCCUCGGAGUCUCAUCUAUCCGUCCAACAUAUACUUUAAAAAUUGGGCAGUGCCUACUAUAGGAUAAACCGUUCUAGGCGGACCUUGGGGACCCAGACGACAGAGAGCAAAUAAGCUUUGCAGAGAAUCCUGCAGAAGGUUUGACUAUGAUGCCAGAGACACAGGGCAAUAACUAGAGCGGUACCUGGUGUUGAGAGAAGGUUAGCUUUCAAAAGGGAGAAAUUGGAAGAAGCUUAAAUACUGAUGGGAAUGAGCCAGAAUAAAGGAGGAGGUAAGAAGAUAAGAGAUAAUACAAGGCCCCUGAGAAGGUGGACUGGUGUGUCCCUUACAAGGGAUACCAUCUUCACCGUCAUUGGAAGGAAUAAGGAAAGGACAGAUAAAGAAUGGAUAGAUAGUGGACAUUUCUGACAAGUGAGAGAGUUCCUUACAAAUGGUCUGUUUUCCUUUGAGUGAAGCCUGGUUACCUGCUGAAGGGUGGAAGGAAAGUGGCAGGUGUUUACAAAAGUUGCUAAAGAAAACUUGAGAGAACUGACUAAGGAAGCAGUAUUUGCCAGAUCCAAGGUCCAUCAGCUUAGAGACGGUGGUUUGAGCCUGUGUGACUUUCCCACCGCAGUGGCCAGCGUCACCCAGCCUUCACCCAAACACACCAAGAAACCUUUGCUAACAGUGGCUUCUUUGUCAGGAAUGACUUUUAUUUUAGGUGUGCCAACAUUCAGGGAUCUCCCUUUCUGAGCUUGAUCACAGAUAGAAUUCUAAGAAACCUAGAGCAAAGAUUUGUCAAAUUUUUGUUUAGGUUUUCCCUACCUGUUACCAUCAAAUGCACUGCCCAAACUCCCUUUACCUACAGAUGUCCACAUAGCUUUCACCCCUCUGACUGUAAAGGGAUCUUCUAGGGCCCCGGAGCACCAUUGGUGAGGAUGAGAGGUUAGGAGUUAGAACAGAACCUUUGCCAUCUCUACUAUGCUACACUUUGAGCAAAAGGAGGGAAUGUUCUAAGCCUUUUUAUUUCUUUCUCUAUGUCAG